rnacentral:rRNA from 1 species
GAACGGGUGAGUAACACGUGGGCAAUCUGCCCUGCACUCUGGGACAAGCCUUGGAAACGAGGUCUAAUACCGGAUAUUACCCCUGGGGGCAUCCCUGGGGGUGGAAAGCUCCGGCGGUGCAGGAUGAGCCCGCGGCCUAUCAGCUUGUUGGUGGGGUGAUGGCCUACCAAGGCGACGACGGGUAGCCGGCCUGAGAGGGCGACCGGCCACACUGGGACUGAGACACGGCCCAGACUCCUACGGGAGGCAGCAGUGGGGAAUAUUGCACAAUGGGCGAAAGCCUGAUGCAGCGACGCCGCGUGAGGGAUGAAGGCCUUCGGGUUGUAAACCUCUUUCAGCAGGGAAGAAGCGCAAGUGACGGUACCUGCAGAAGAAGCACCGGCUAACUACGUGCCAGCAGCCGCGGUAAUACGUAGGGUGCGAGCGUUGUCCGGAAUUAUUGGGCGUAAAGAGCUCGUAGGCGGCUUGUCACGUCGGAUGUGAAAGCCCGGGGCUUAACCCCGGGUCUGCAUUCGAUACGGGCAGGCUGGAGUGUGGUAGGGGAGAUCGGAAUUCCUGGUGUAGCGGUGAAAUGCGCAGAUAUCAGGAGGAACACCGGUGGCGAAGGCGGAUCUCUGGGCCAUACUGACGCUGAG